CUCAAGAAGCAUAAUUUGCAAUCGUUUCUGCAGCACAGCCAAAAGUUUAAAAUAUUCAACAUACUGUUAUGCAAUGGCUCUCCAAAUCCGAGCGGGUGUCUCUCAACUGAAACGCUCCAUGUCAAACAAUUUUUUAUUUGCAGCCACCCGCCUCCCCUCUCCCACACACACACACACAGACUACUGCUGAAUGCGAGAUAUUUGCAUUUUGCUCAGAUACGUUUUUUUACAUUUCUUUUCUACAUAAAUGCAUUUCGUGUUUACAUUUUUCCAGUGACAAGUGUCUGAAUCACGCUGCAGCGCACUGGGGAUGACAUAUGGCGGCAGGGAGAGCCAGCGACACGCAGCCGACAAUCGAUUAAUCAGCGAAAAAUAAUAAGAAACAUGCUCACCCCCACCCGCCCCUUCUUGUAUGGCAUGGGAUCUUCGGGGAGAUGCAACUGCAACGGAGUCGGAAUCUGUGAAUGCGGAACUGAUGUCGCCUCGGAGCACUGGCACUCAAAAAAUGGGCAACUUCAACAUUUCGGGCAGUCAAAUAAAUAAAGCAACCAAAACAGAACAAGGGGAAGAGAAUAUUAUAAUUCUAAGCUGAAUAAAAAUUUGUGUUUGAGUUGAGUUUUCCUUUAUGGGCCCCACACACAC
rnacentral:lncRNA from 1 species